rnacentral:rRNA from 1 species
UACGUAGGGUGCGAGCGUUAAUCGGAAUUACUGGGCGUAAAGCGCGCGUAGGCGGCUUUGUAAGUUAGAGGUGAAAGCCCGGAGCUCAACUCCGGAACUGCCUUUAAGACUGCAUCGCUAGAAUUGUGGAGAGGUGAGUGGAAUUCCGAGUGUAGAGGUGAAAUUCGUAGAUAUUCGGAAGAACACCAGUGGCGAAGGCGACUCACUGGACACAUAUUGACGCUGAGGUGCGAAAGCGUGGGGAGCAAACAGG